rnacentral:misc_RNA from 1 species
CGGAGUUCAGUCUUCCCAGGCCCACCACUUUCAUCGAGUGAGCAUUCGUCUUCUGGUUACGGGGCCAUAGCUCAGCUGGGAGAGCGCGUGCUUUGCAAGCAUGAGGUCGUCGGUUCGAUCCCGUCUGGCUCCACCAGAUGGUUUGAUCACCGAGAUCUUGUACCGUCGUCCGCGAAACAUCACUUCGCAUCCUGCUAGUCUGGAUAGACAGCAAGAUGCGUGUUUUCUGACAUCGUAAAGAGGAGAUCGAUCCGAGUUGGGUCGUGCAGCGGAUUGUUGCGCGAAUCCUUCAUUAUCUCCGGAUCAUUUUCGGCGCUCGCUUUCAGCCGUGAGGUUGAAUGCGAGUUGUAAAAUGAUCCUUUUAGCGAAGCUUGACCGCCUCGCUAUCGGAACGAUCUUACGAAGCAAGCUGGUCUUUCUAGUCAAUGUCCGGCUGUGCGUAGCGUUCAUCGAGGGCGCGUGCCGUAAGGCAAUCGUACAGACAACAUUCUGCCGAGUGUGUGGACAUUGAUAAUGAGAGCAAUCAAGUGCCUUAAGGGUGUUCGGUGGAUGCCUUGGCGCUGAGAGGCGAUGAAGGACGUGCUACGCUGCGAUAAGCCGUGGGGAGCUGCGAAGAAGCUUUGAUCCGCGGAUUUCCGAAUGGG